ACAAACAAGACAGAAUUAGAUGGUAUUUUAAUACCAUUCGCAUAGCAGAAAUAAUUUAUAACCACAGUAAGAUCUGCACAGAUGAUCAGUGUAAAGAGAGAUUUAUGGACAGACUGAAGCUGGACAGUCACACGGCUGAUCUCACCAUCACAAACAUCAGAACUACAGACGCUGGAGUUUAUGUACUACUGAUGAACAGCCGCAACAGUGAGAGGAUCUUCUAUGUUGCUGUCAGUGGUGUUUCUGCUGCUGAACGAGAUGAAAAGAAGAUAAAGUCAGUGAAAGAGGGAGAAUCUGUUACUUUAGAUCCUGAUGUAAUAAAACCAAAUGAUCUAAUGAGAUGGUAUUUUAACAACUUUCCCAUCGCUGUAAUCACUGGAGAUCAGAGUAAGAUCUGUACAGAUGAUCAGUGUAAAGAGAGAUUCAGAGACAGACUGAAGCUGGAUCAUGACUGGAUCUCUGAUCAUCAUGGACAUUAGAACUACAGACUCUGGACUCUAUAAACUACAGAUCAACAGCAGCAGAUUCUGCAUUAUAAGGAGCUUCAGUGUUACUGUCACUGCUUUUCUAGGUUCAGGUCCACCUUCAGGUAAUGUAGUAGAAAAAUAUCCUGCUGUUAUUGGUGGUGGUGCUUUUCUUUUGGUCAUGGCUGCAGCAGCUGCUUUUGUGAUGUACAUACGUGGAAAAAUCAAAUCACCAGGAAAAGACGGCAAGUAUUACAUAGAACUG